AUCUCAAAGCUCAGUCAGUAGAGCAUGAGACUCUGAAUCUCAAGGUUGUGGAUUUGAACCCAUUUUGGACA